GCCUGGGUGGCUCAGUCGGUUGAGCAUCUGACUUCAGCUCAGGUCAUGAUCUCACGGUUGGUGGUUUGAGUCCUUCCUGCA
rnacentral:tRNA from 1 species